rnacentral:lncRNA from 10 species
CGAAAGGCCAGUAGGAAAACCAAGACUCUCUGGAGAAGUCAACAGUUCUGAAAUAACCCAUCUUGAAGACAUAAACAAUGUGCAUUGAUGGCUAGCCAGACUCUGUCCUGCCACAGUUCUCCUCCUACUCUUCAUUUCUUACCCCAAGGAGUAGUAAACAUGAAUCCUGACCCACCAAUGCAGUCCCAGAACUGAGAAAAGAUUCACUGCAGCUAAACAGAUUAUUUUUGCACCUUUGGAAAGCAACUGAAAAAGGAAGCCUGGAAAAAAUCCUGCCUAACAAAGCAGCAGUACUCAAAUAGCUUUAACUAUAAGAAAGAACUGAUUCAAG